rnacentral:rRNA from 1 species
GAUGAACGCUGGCGGCGUGCCUAAUACAUGCAAGUCGAGCGAACAGACGAGGAGCUUGCUCCUCUGACGUUAGCGGCGGACGGGUGAGUAACACGUGGAUAACCUACCUAUAAGACUGGGAUAACUUCGGGAAACCGGAGCUAAUACCGGAUAAUAUAUUGAACCGCAUGGUUCAAUAGUGAAAGACGGUUUUGCUGUCACUUAUAGAUGGAUCCGCGCCGCAUUAGCUAGUUGGUAAGGUAACGGCUUACCAAGGCAACGAUGCGUAGCCGACCUGAGAGGGUGAUCGACCACACUGGAGCUGAGACACGGUCCAGACUCCUACGGGAGGCAGCAGUAGGGAAUCUUCCGCAAUGGGCGAAAGCUUGACGGAGCAGCGCCGCGUGAGUGAUGAAGGUCUUCGGAUCGUAAAACUCUGUUAUUAGGGAAGAACAAAUGUGUAAGUAACUAUGCACGUCUUGACGGUACCUGAUCAGAAAGCCACGGCUAACUACGUG